CACGCUACGUGUGAAUCAUCGAAUCUUUGAACGCACCUUGCACUUGAAGAGUCAAUCUUCAAGUAUACCUGUUUGAGUAUCAUAUCAUUACCUCCAAAAGCUUCUUUUGAAAAAAGGAAGUUGAUGGGAUUUGAGAGUUCAGAUUGCUCCGGCGUUGCCUCUUUAAAUGUAUGAAAGAAAGGGAGAUAUUUUGCUUCGGCGAAACAUCUAGAGUUUGUGGAAGUAAUUCAUUCAAGCUUGAACAUCUUUUUCUUUUUUUGCUGGCAACUGCUUCGCAGUUGGAUAAGUAAAAACAAAUUCUGAAAUCAACUCUGUAAUGUAAUGUAAAGAGUUGCCAAAGAAAGAAAAAUGAUCUCAAAUCAGGCAAGAUUACCCGCCGAACUUAAGCAUAUCAAUAAGCGGAGG
rnacentral:rRNA from 1 species